rnacentral:rRNA from 1 species
GCCAGCCCGCUCAGAAACUCAAAGGAAUUGACGGGGCCCGCACAAGCGGUGGAGUAUGUGGUUAAUUCGAUGCAACGCGAAGAACCUUACCUGGUCUUGACAUCCCGGAGACCCUUAGGAAACUAGGGGGUGCUUCCAUCUGGAAGAAUCUGGAGACAGGUGCUGCAUGGCUGUCGUCAGCUCGUGUCGUGAGAUGUUGGGUUAAGUCCCGCAACGAGCGCAACCCUUGCCUUUAGUUGCCAGCAGUUCGGCUGGGCACUCUAAAGGGACUGCCGGUGUUAAACCGGAGGAAGGUGGGGAUGACGUCAAGUCCUCAUGGCCUUUAUGACCAGGGCUACACACGUACUACAAUGGCCGAUACAAAGGGCAGCGACACUGCGAGGUGAAGCCAAUCCCGUAAAAUCGGUCUCAGUCCGGAUUGGAGUCUGCAACUCGACUCCAUGAAGUUGGAAUCGCUAGUAAUCGUGGAUCAGCAUGCCACGGUGAAUACGUUCCCGGGCCUU